AUUUUCCCCACAACCCUAGCCAUCCCCUCAAUAUCGAAAUUCCUACUUGCCUCCUCACCCAAUAAUAGUGAGGGUAGGCACAAUUAAUCCAAAACCAGUAAAUAAUUAUUUACCUAAUUUAGGAGAAUGGACAAUGGCAAGUCAAUUUUUUAUUUAUUUUUUUAACUCUAUGCUCGCAGGCUACUAGCGCUGCCAGCGGGCAAACAGUUCAGACAUUUAAAC